UGCGAACUCCUACGGGAGGCAGCAGUGGGGAGUUUUGGACAAUGGGGGCAACCCUGAUCCAGCAAUGCCGCGUGAGUGACGAAGGCCUUCGGGUUGUAAAGCUCUUUUGUCAGGGAAGAAACGGUGGUAGCUAAUAACUAUUACUCAUGAGGGUACCUGAAGAAUAAGCACCGGCUAACUACGUGCCAGCAGCCGCGGUAAUACGAGGGGUGCAAGCGUUAAUCGGAAUUACUGGGCGUAAAGCGUGCGCAGGCGGUUGUGUAAGUCAGAUGUGAAAUCCCCGGGCUCAACCUGGGAAUUGCAUUUGAGACUGCACGGCUAGAGUGUGUCAGAGGGGGGUAGAAUUCCACGUGUAGCAGUGAAAUGCGUAGAUAUGUGGAGGAAUACCGAUGGCGAAGGCAGCCCCCUGGGAUAACACUGACGCUCAUGCACGAAAGCGUGGGGAGCAAACAGGAUUAGAAACCCUUGUAGUCCAGAUG
rnacentral:rRNA from 1 species